GCUGGGCAUGGUGGAGCAUGCCUGCAAUCCCAGCAACUCAGGAGGCUGAGACAAGAGGAUAUCGAGUUCAAACCCUGUCUCUA
rnacentral:sRNA from 1 species